UACGUAGGGUGCAAGCGUUAUCCGGAAUUAUUGGGCGUAAAGAGCUCGUAGGCGGUUUGUCGCGUCUGCUGUGAAAACCCGAGGCUCAACCUCGGGCCUGCAGUGGGUACGGGCAGACUAGAGUGCGGUAGGGGAGAUUGGGAUUCCUGGUGUAGCGGUGGAAUGCGCAGAUAUCAGGAGGAACACCGAUGGCGAAGGCAGAUCUCUGGGCCGUAACUGACGCUGAGGAGCGAAAGCGUGGGGAGCGAACAGG
rnacentral:rRNA from 1 species